UUUUCGGUUCCUCGCAACAAACUCUAGCUCAGCGGGUCAGGUUCGGAAGAAAGCAGCCCAAGUUAGAACUUUGUGUGCCGAGAUUCAGCUGGAAAGGA
rfam:Gallibacterium salpingitidis strain F150 contig000009, whole genome shotgun sequence.